rnacentral:rRNA from 1 species
CCUACGGGCGGCAGCAGUGAGGAAUAUUGGUCAAUGGGCGCGAGCCUGAACCAGCCAAGUCGCGUGAGGGAAGACGGUCCUAUGGAUUGUAAACCUCUUUUGUCGGGGAGCAAAAGACGCCACGCGUGGCGUUCCGAGAGUACCCGAAGAAAAAGCAUCGGCUAACUCCGGGCCAGCAGCCGCGGUAAUACGGAGGAUGCGAGCGUUAUCCGGAUUUAGUGGGUUUAAAAGGUGCGUAGGAGGAAGAUCAAGUCAGCGGUAAAAUUGAGGGGCUCAACCUCUUCGAGCCGUUGAAACUGGUUUUCUUGAGUGAGUGAGAAGUAGGCGGAAUGCGGGGUGUAGCGGUGAAAUGCAUAGAUAUCACGCAGAACUCCGAUUGCGAAGGCAGCAUACCGGCGCUCAACUGACGCUCAUGCACGAAAGUGUGGGUAUCGAACAGGAUUAGAUACCCGAGUAGUC